GUGGGCUGCACCAGAAGUAGGUUGCUUAACCCGUAAGGGAGGGCGCUUACCACGGUGUGGUUCAUGACUGGGGUGAAGUCGUAACAAGGUAGCCGUAGGUGAACCUGCAGAAGGAUCA
rnacentral:rRNA from 1 species